rnacentral:lncRNA from 1 species
AAUUGAUAUUUUCGCCUUCUUAGAAUUUUUAUGAUCGAUUAUAUAGUUUUUACCAAUUGAUUUGAAUGCAUCGUCCAAUCAACAGUCCCGGUUGGUACCCGACCGCUUUUCAAAUCCGUAGCGCGUUUCUUUUACUGUUUUGAUCAAAAUAUUUUUUUCCCAUACACCAGCAAGUGCCUGCCUUUUAUAACUAUGGAUGACAUGUAUAAAACGCAAUUGCAGUCAAAUGUCAGUCGCUUCAAAAGAUCGCUGGAGAGAAUCGCUGAAAAGUACUCCAAGUUGCAAUACGAACACGAUGCAAUAGAAGUGGACCUGGACAAUACACGCCUAGAAAAAUUGGGGCAUUACAUGACGCUGUCAAAGAAGAAACUAGAUAAAUUGGAGUCUAUGAGCUUUGUAGACUCGAGAGAGGAGUCAUUGCAAGACCUGACAAGAGAUCCAGUGUUGGAUACCACAUGCAAAGAAAGAAGUGGCGAUUUUGAAACAACCAGUUUAUCAGAAGUGACACAAGAUGAUGCCACAAGUCAUACAGACCCACUGGAUGAAAGUCAAAGACACAACACUCUCUUAUCUGAUCAACCAGAAGAUCAGGAUGAAGAACUGGAAGUGUCUCUUCACAGUAAUGGCAGCUCUUUAGGGGAGUGCUAUGCAGACAUGGUUAGCCAAAUAGAGAAUGCCUGGCGCCAACAACAUGUCACUGAAGCAGCUGACUCUGUGCGGAGGAAGUAUUUUAAGUGGCGCAAAUCAACUCUGAUGCACCGGCGUACCAGCUCUUCCCAUGAUGUUCAGAGACACAACAAAGAGACUGGCAAAAAAGAGUUGUUCGCCAAGCAUCAUCAUAGUCUCAAAACCCCUGUGAAAAGUGUUGCCUCUACAGUGACUGAAACUGUUUCACCGUCCCCUGGUAUGAUUGUAACGGUUAAUGGCCAGAGAUCACAAUAUUACCGCUCUCCUGUGAGAAAAAGUGAGGCCCCUAUAGUUGUGAUGGAUAUGCCUGCUAUCGAAAAAGAAAAAUCUCUCAACAAGACCUUUACAGUGUCUGAACCAUCUUUAUUCUUCUCAACUUUUAACUCCAGUCCCCAAAGAUCUGGCUAUUCUCCAAACAAACCACUUCAGGAUCUCACCUUUGAGAUGAACAGCAUGUCUCCACGCCAUAUGCAAACUGCCAGCUCUGUGCUUCGCAGUACCCUGCUCAAAGACAUCUAUUCAUCUCCUGCCAGAACAAGUCCCUAUAAAGCAAAGGUGACAAGCAUGGACCGCUUCAAUGAACGGUCAGACAUUUAUGGCUCACCUAUGAGAAAAAGUAUUUUCAAACUACACACAAGCAGGGAAAGCCCAGAGCGAUCAUCUUAUGCUCCUGUGGCAAGCCCCAAAUCACCGUACAUGAAGCAACGUUUCUCCAAAGAGCUGAAGAGAACCAACUCAGCCUCUAACUUUGCUCCAUCUCCAUCUAAAUUCACAGUAUCCAAGAGGACACUUGAGUAUCCAGAUCAGCAUCUCUCCCCACAGCAGUGGUCACCUCAGUUGGCCAAACCAAGAAGACAGCACCAUAAACUUAGGCGCAAUCUUUCCUUUGAUUCCUCCACUCAGCCGCUGAGUCAUUCCUCUUACUCCUGCAAGGACGUUGACGAUGACUUCACGAGGCUGUAUCACAAAUUUGUCUGUCUGAACAAAUCCUCCUUUCUGAGUAGCAAUCCUUGUCGUCUUUGUGCCAAGAAUUCAGAGGCCAGUAGGUGGCACUCUUCCUCCAAUCUAGCUGCACUCGCAUUGUCCCCACAUCGUCCACUUCUGAGGAAGCGUCAUAGUGAUUUGCAGCGUUACCCCCUUUCUAAGCGUUUUAGAGAUGGCCAUGAGAAAAUGUAA